UACUUCUUUGUUUGUAUCAAU
ensembl:piRNA 21ur-5040 ncRNA